AUUGAACGCUGGCGGCAUGCCUUACACAUGCAAGUCGAACGGCAGCACGGGAGCAAUCCUGGUGGCGAGUGGCGAACGGGUGAGUAAUACAUCGGAACGUGCCCAGUAGUGGGGGAUAACCCGGCGAAAGCCGGACUAAUACCGCAUACGACCUACGGGUGAAAGCGGGGGAUCGCAAGACCUCGCGCUAUCGGAGCGGCCGAUGUCAGAUUAGCUAGUUGGUGGGGUAAAGGCCUACCAAGGCGACGAUCUGUAGCUGGUCUGAGAGGACGACCAGCCACACUGGAACUGAGACACGGCCCAGACUCCUACGGGAGGCAGCAGUGGGGAAUUUUGGACAAUGGGCGCAAGCCUGAUCCAGCCAUGCCGCGUGCGGGAAGAAGGCCUUCGGGUUGUAAACCGCUUUUGUCAGGGAAGAAACGCUCCGGGCUAAUACCACGGAGUAAUGACGGUACCUGAAGAAUAAGCACCGGCUAACUACGUG
rnacentral:rRNA from 1 species